CGAUUGGUUGCUAUAGGCACCUCAGCAACUUUUCCUCUGGACAGGUUUUGAUAAAUCUCCCCCUUGAUGCUCAUUUGGAUACAUGGAAAAUGCUAAUUGUUCAGCUCACAAGCAGAAGUUCAUAUAGCUAAAGGUGAAUGUGGUUUGGGCCGAAGAGAAGAUUAUUUGUAUAGUGAACAUCAUGCUGUGAUUUUACCUAUGUAUUUGCCCCUGCCCUUGGGAAAAAACACACGUCUGUUCGCAAAUAUUGUGAGGAAUGAUGACAUCAAUAUGAAGCCAAGUCCAGAGAUAUGUUCAUGUGAUCUACCAUGAUUCCUCUAUGAGACUCUAUUACUAUAUUGUAUCCUAUUGUUAUGUCUUGCAAUUUGUCAGUAUUUCUUGUUUGUAUGUUGCUGACACAUGUAGCUUGAUAUAAUCUUAUGCACAUACCAGUAUAAUUCUCCAGGUACACACCACAGGGGUGUGGAAAUGUAAUAAAAGACUACUUGUCCAUGGGACUAAAACGAAGCAAAAUCUACUUGUCCCUCAUGACGAUCCACUUGUCCCUCAUGACGAUCCACUUGUCCGGGCCAAAUUUCGCUUUUACACUCUAA